GAUACUGUGGCCGAGGGGUUAAGGCGUGAGACUUGAAAUCUCAUGGGAUUUUCCCGCGUAGGUUCAAAUCCUGCCAGUAUCG